ACUGGAGCUGGACGAGCUGGGAAAUCAGAUCGUCUGGCACGACGGCAGGAGGAUUCUGCAGUUCUGGAAGAGCAGCCAAAUUUCACUGGAGAUAUCCAUCAGCACAAGCAGUUGUUCCACGCUGGGCGGGGAGGGGAGUUCUCAGGAAGGAAUGGAGCUGGAAGAGCUGUUACUACGGCAGGGAGAGCCUGAGACAAACGGAGAUGGAUGGAGUGAUGGAGGAGCACAGGAGGAGGCCGAAGUCGUUCGUGAAGAGCAGCAUAUCGCUGCACUGUAAACCCGAAUAAGGGCUAGAGUGGUCGUCCUCCAACAAGAAGGUUGGCCCCAAGGACUAGAACAUGGACAUGAAAAAGAGUGGAACCUGCAGGAGUUUGACAUUAUCUCAUCCAGUGUGAAGGAAAUAUGAUAAAACUGUAAACUCAGUAUUAUAAAUGUUUAUCUCAUCGAGGGUGAAGGAUAUAUGAAAAAACUGUUAGCUCAGUAUUAUAAAAGUUUAUCUCAUCGAGUGUGAUGGAAAUGUGAAAAAACUGUAAGCUCAGGAUGAUACAUAUAUUUAUCUCAUAGUGUGAAGGAUAUAUGAAAAAACUGUAAGCUCAGUAUUAUAAAUGUUCACCUCUUCGAGUGUGAUGAAAAUGUGAAAAAACUGUAAGCUCAGGAUGAUACAUAUAUUUAUCUCCUAGUGUGAAGGAUAUAUGAAAAAACUGUAAGCUCAGUAUUAUAAAUGUUCAUCUCAUUCAGUGUGAUGGAAAUCUGAAAAUACAAGAGGCUGGAAACACCAAAGUUAUCUACGUUAACUUAAUAAGGGGUUUUCUGCAGAAAGGAUCGACACACCGAGAGUCCUAAGGUUCUCAGAGUGAAGUCAAACACAAUGAUCUUAUAUAGGGAACUAAGGCUAUCUCUCUCAGCCAAUCCAGACUGGUUCUGUAGGCGCAGGGAGAGAUCUAUCUAAACACAGACAACUGAUUUACAUGUGUUUCCUUUGGAGAUAAGCACACAUACAUUCAGUUCUUUGGGGGUCUAAAGGGUCUACCAGUUUUCAGGUCAUACACAGCUCAGACUAUUAAAACAUUCCAGGUCAUAAACUAUUUGAACAGUUUGUAUAUGCAUGUAGAAAGGUCAUAAAAGCCUUUAGACAGAGCUACAAAACUUACUUUCCAACUACAACAUAGGUUUUACACAUACUUAGUUAAUUUUUCCUUUACACCAGUGUUUUCUAUGAAAGUGAAAAGACUAAAAAAAACCUGAUGUGUAAAUGUUGAAAUGUUUUAUAUCCAUCCAAUGUUUUUUUUUUAUAAAAAAAGACAUAAAACCUGAUGUGUAAAUGUUGAAAUGUUUAUUCAUAAAAGUACAGCAUAUGCAA